GUCCCAGCCGUAAACGAUGGACACUGAGUGAAAGAGGGCUUGCCCUUUUUGCUGCAGCUAACGCGUUAAGUGUCCCGCCUGGGGAGUACGGCCGCAAGGUUAAAACUCAAAGGAAUUGACGGGGGCUCGCACAAGCGGUGGAGCAUGUGGUUCAAUUCGAUGCAACGCGAAGAACCUUACCCGGGCUUGAAGUGGAGGUGGUAGGAACCGGAAACGGUGACGACCCCGAAAGGGGAGCCUUCAUCAGGUGUUGCAUGGCUGUCGU
rnacentral:rRNA from 1 species